rnacentral:rRNA from 1 species
UUGAUCCUGGCUCAGGAUGAACGCUGGCGGUCUGCUUAACACAUGCAAGUCGAGCGGGCUCUUCGGAGCUAGUGGCGGACGGGUGAGUAACGCGUGAGGAUCUGCCUUCAGGAGGGGGAUAACGACUGGAAACGGUCGCUAAUACCGCAUAUGCCUACGGGUGAAAGAUUUAUCGCCUGGAGAUGAACUCGCGUCAGAUUAGCUAGUUGGUGGGGUAAGAGCCUACCAAGGCGACGAUCUGUAGCUGGUCUGAGAGGAUGAUCAGCCACACUGGGACUGAGACACGGCCCAGACUCCUACGGGAGGCAGCAGUGGGGAAUUUUCCGCAAUGGGCGCAAGCCUGACGGAGCAAGACCGCGUGCGGGAUGACGGCCUAAUGGUUGUAAACCGCUUUUCUCUGGGAAGAUGAUGACGGUACCAGAGGAAUCAGCCUCGGCUAACUCCGUGCCAGCAGCCGCGGUAAUACGGAGGAGGCAAGCGUUAUCCGGAAUUAUUGGGCGUAAAGCGUCCGUAGGUGGUUAUUCAAGUCUGCUGUCAAAGCGUGGGGCUUAACUCCAUAGAGGCAGUGGAAACUGGAUGACUUGAGUGCGGUAGGGGUCGAGGGAAUUCCCAGUGUAGCGGUGAAAUGCGUAGAUAUUGGGAAGAACACCAGUGGCGAAAGCGCUCGACUGGGCCUGCACUGACACUGAGGGACGAAAGCUAGGGGAGCGAAAGGGGAUUAGAUACCCCUGUAGUCCUAGCCGUAAACGAUGGAUACUAGGUGUUGCUCGUCAUCGACCCGAGCAGUGCCGUAGCCAACGCGUUAAGUAUCCCGCCUGGGGAGUACGCUCGCAAGGAGUGAAACUCAAAGGAAUUGACGGGGGCCCGGCACAAGCGG